GAAAUGCGAUAAGUAAUGUGAAUUGCAGAACUUCGUGAAUCAUCAAAUCUUUGAACGCACAUUGCGCUCUAUGGAAACAUAGAGCAUGCCUGUUUGAGUAUCAUUUUAACCCACUCGCAGAUCUUUUUCUGUGGACUUGAUAGUCUUGGAGUUCUUUAUCUCUCCCAGUCUUUCGAAAAAUGAACUUCAAAAUGGUUUCAGAGAUUUUUUCCCUGGACCCCCCCAAUCGUACUUGAUUGUAUUCAGUCACGAUUGGUUGGUGUGAUUUUUUUUUUGAAGAGGGUGUUUUUUGUUUUUCUUCAACAAAAAAAAGCGAACUUUGAAUGCUGUGGCAUUUUUAAUCGGUUCACAAAACUCUUCAACAAAAAUUUCUUUACAACUUUUUGGUCUCAAAUCAGGC
rnacentral:misc_RNA from 1 species